GGAGUGGUAGCUCAGUUGGUUAGAGUGCCUGCCUGUCACGCAGGAUGUCGCGGGUUCAAAUCCCGUCCACUCCGCCA
rnacentral:tRNA from 1 species